rnacentral:lncRNA from 1 species
GUUUAAAAUUCUAAUUUUAGUUCAUCAUGCUUUUGUAAAAGUGUGUGUGCACACAGUAUCUGCUAAGCAUGUAGCCAUUUUGCCAGGAUUUUACUGUUGUCUCAUUGAGUACUUGUUGUAUCCUAGAUGCUUAUCUAUGUAUUUACUUUUUUUUUUUCUCACAGAGACACUUCGUUACCCAUCUUUUAUAGGUGAAGGCUAAGGCUUAAGUGGUCAAUGAACCUCCCCAAAGACUCACCACUAUUGAACUCAGGCCAUGCGAACUCUCCACCCUGCCUGGGAGUUGCUGUGCUGUCAAGCCAGUGGCUGUACACAUGAGUGCAAGUAGACCUUGCCAUCAAGCCUUCCCCGGGGGAUUGAGCUAGCCCAGCCGGGAGCCAGAGAGACUGAAAGCCCAGUGAUGUUGUCCAUUCAGGAUAGCCUCCCAGGACAGAGGGCAGGAUGCAGAAGAGUGGAGAGUUUGGGGAAGAGCAAACCCUGCGUAGAAGAAAGAAAUUUAGGCAUUUGUGCAUUGCCUUAGAGACGUGGAAGAUAACUACAUGUUGAUGUUUAGAAUGACUGGACUACAUUUGAUGGAAUGCACAAUAAAACAGCUUUGAAUCUCUUAAUAAUUAAUUCCAUGGAUAUCAAUGCG